rnacentral:rRNA from 1 species
UGUCGGGUCUUAAUUGACUUGGUAACGCAGCUAACGCGUGAAGUAGACCGCCUGGGGAGUACGGUCGCAAGAUUAAAACUCAAAGGAAUUGACGGGGACCCGCACAAGCGGUGGAUGAUGUGGAUUAAUUCGAUGCAACGCGAAAAACCUUACCUACCCUUGACAUGUCAGGAACCCUCGAGAGAUUGAGGGGUGCCCGAAAGGGAGCCUGAACACAGGUGCUGCAUGGCUGUCGUCAGCUCGUGUCGUGAGAUGUUGGGUUAAGUCCCGCAACGAGCGCGACCCUUGUCAUUAGUUGCUACGAAAGGGCACUCUAAUGAGACUGCCGGUGACAAACCGGAGGAAGGUGGGGAUGACGUCAAGUCCUCAUGGCCCUUAUGGGUAGGGCUUCACACGUCAUACAAUGGUACAUACAGAGGGCUGCCAACCCGCGAGGGGGAGCUAAUCCCAGAAAGUGUAUCGUAGUCCGGAUCGCAGUCUGCAACUCGACUGCGUGAAGU